rnacentral:rRNA from 1 species
AGAGAUCGGGCGUCCCCUUCGGGGGACAGGGUGACAGGUGGUGCAUGGUUGUCGUCAGCUCGUGUCGUGAGAUGUUGGGUUAAGUCCCGCAACGAGCGUCAACCCUUGUCAUUAGUUGCCAUCAUUUGGUUGGGCACGUCUAAUGAGACUGCCGGUGACAAACCGGAGGAAGGUGGGGAUGACGUCAAGUCCUCAUGGCCCUUAUGGGUAGGGCUUCACACGUCAUACAAUGGUCGGUACAGAGGGUUGCCAACCCGCGAGGGGGAGCUAAUCCCACAAAGCCGAUCGUAGUCCGGAUCGCAGUCUGCAACUCGACUGCGUGAAGUCGGAAUCGCUAGUAAUCGUGGAUCAGCAUGUCACGGUGAAUACGGUUCCCGGGUCUU